AAGAGCAGAAACGUAGAAAAAGAUGGGACUAUUACGAAACACUCUUGUGGUUCAAUAAAACUGGAGGUUCAUGAGAAUAGAUUGGCAAAGAAGUUAGGUAGGCAACCAACUCAACUUGAACUAUUUCGUGCCACUCACACAAAAAAGGGAGUCAAGGUGUUUUCAUUGAUGGAAAAUCACAACGAGUUGAUGGAGCUUAUUUGACUGCCAUUCCUGAAAAUGUGAAUGAUAAUUGUGAUAGUCAGUCUGCUUUUGAUUUGAAUA